GAUUAACGCUGGCGGCGUGCCUAAUACAUGCAAGUCGAGCGAACAGACGAGGAGCUUGCUCCUCUGACGUUAGCGGCGGACGGGUGAGUAACACGUGGAUAACCUACCUAUAAGACUGGGAUAACUUCGGGAAACCGGAGCUAAUACCGGAUAAUAUAUUGAACCGCAUGGUUCAAUAGUGAAAGACGGUUUUGCUGUCACUUAUAGAUGGAUCCGCGCCGCAUUAGCUAGUUGGUAAGGUAACGGCUUACCAAGGCAACGAUGCGUAGCCGACCUGAGAGGGUGAUCGGCCACACUGGAACUGAGACACGGUCCAGACUCCUACGGGAGGCAGCAGUAGGGAAUCUUCCGCAAUGGGCGAAAGCCUGACGGAGCAACGCCGCGUGAGUGAUGAAGGUCUUCGGAUCGUAAAACUCUGUUAUUAGGGAAGAACAAAUGUGUAAGUAACUAUGCACGUCUUGACGGUACCUAAUCAGAAAGCCACGGCUAACUACGUG
rnacentral:rRNA from 1 species